rnacentral:rRNA from 1 species
UACGGAGGAUCCAAGCGUUAUCCGGAAUCAUUGGGUUUAAAGGGUCCGUAGGCGGUUUGGUAAGUCAGUGGUGAAAGCCCAUCGCUCAACGGUGGAACGGCCAUUGAUACUGCCAGACUUGAAUUAUUAGGAAGUAACUAGAAUAUGGUAGUGUAGCGGUGAAAUGCUUAGAGAUUACAUGGAAUACCAAUUGCGAAGGCAGGUUACUACUAAUGGAUUGACGCUGAUGGACGAAAGCGUGGGUAGCGAACAGG